rnacentral:rRNA from 1 species
GGGUUGUGAGGUUAAGCGACUAAGCGUACACGGUGGAUGCCCUGGCAGUCAGAGGCGAUGAAGGACGUGCUAAUCUGCGAUAAGCGUCGGUGAGGUGAUAUGAACCGUUAUAACCGGCGAUUUCCGAAUGGGGAAACCCAGUGUGUUUCGACACACUAUCAUUAACUGAAUCCAUAGGUUAAUGAGGCGAACCGGGGGAACUGAAACAUCUAAGUACCCCGAGGAAAAGAAAUCAACCGAGAUUCCCCCAGUAGCGGCGAGCGAACGGGGAGGAGCCCAGAGCCUGAAUCAGUGUGUGUGUUAGUGGAAGCGUCUGGAAAGGCGCGCGAUACAGGGUGACAGCCCCGUACACAAAAAUGCACAUACUGUGAGCUCGAUGAGUAGGGCGGGACACGUGGUAUCCUGUCUGAAUAUGGGGGGACCAUCCUCCAAGGCUAAAUACUCCUGACUGACCGAUAGUGAACCAGUACCGUGAGGGAAAGGCGAAAAGAACCCCGGCGAGGGGAGUGAAAAAGAACCUGAAACCGUGUACGUACAAGCAGUGGGAGCCUCUUAAUGGGGUGACUGCGUACCUUUUGUAUAAUGGGUCAGCGACUUAUAUUCUGUAGCAAGGUUAACCGAAUAGGGGAGCCGAAGGGAAACCGAGUCUUAACUGGGCGUUAAGUUGCAGGGUAUAGACCCGAAACCCGGUGAUCUAGCCAUGGGCAGGUUGAAGGUUGGGUAACACUAACUGGAGGACCGAACCGACUAAUGUUGAAAAAUUAGCGGAUGACUUGUGGCUGGGGGUGAAAGGCCAAUCAAACCGGGAGAUAGCUGGUUCUCCCCGAAAGCUAUUUAGGUAGCGCCUCGUGAAUUCAUCUCCGGGGGUAGAGCACUGUUUCGGCAAGGGGGUCAUCCCGACUUACCAACCCGAUGCAAACUGCGAAUACCGGAGAAUGUUAUCACGGGAGACACACGGCGGGUGCUAACGUCCGUCGUGAAGAGGGAAACAACCCAGACCGCCAGCUAAGGUCCCAAAGUCAUGGUUAAGUGGGAAACGAUGUGGGAAGGCCCAGACAGCCAGGAUGUUGGCUUAGAAGCAGCCAUCAUUUAAAGAAAGCGUAAUAGCUCACUGGUCGAGUCGGCCUGCGCGGAAGAUGUAACGGGGCUAAACCAUGCACCGAAGCUGCGGCAGCGACACUAUGUGUUGUUGGGUAGGGGAGCGUUCUGUAAGCCUGUGAAGGUGUGCUGUGAGGCAUGCUGGAGGUAUCAGAAGUGCGAAUGCUGACAUAAGUAACGAUAAAGCGGGUGAAAAGCCCGCUCGCCGGAAGACCAAGGGUUCCUGUCCAACGUUAAUCGGGGCAGGGUGAGUCGACCCCUAAGGCGAGGCCGAAAGGCGUAGUCGAUGGGAAACAGGUUAAUAUUCCUGUACUUGAUGUUACUGCGAAGGGGGGACGGAGAAGGCUAUGUUGGCCGGGCGACGGUUGUCCCGGUUUAAGCGUGUAGGCUGGUUUUCCAGGCAAAUCCGGAAAACCAAGGCUGAGGCGUGAUGACGAGGCACUACGGUGCUGAAGCGACAAAUGCCCUGCUUCCAGGAAAAGCCUCUAAGCAUCAGGUAACAUUAAAUCGUACCCCAAACCGACACAGGUGGUCAGGUAGAGAAUACCAAGGCGCUUGAGAGAACUCGGGUGAAGGAACUAGGCAAAAUGGUGCCGUAACUUCGGGAGAAGGCACGCUGAUAUGUAGGUGAAGCGACUUGCUCGUGGAGCUGAAAUCAGUCGAAGAUACCAGCUGGCUGCAACUGUUUAUUAAAAACACAGCACUGUGCAAACACGAAAGUGGACGUAUACGGUGUGACGCCUGCCCGGUGCCGGAAGGUUAAUUGAUGGGGUUAGCGGUAACGCGAAGCUCUUGAUCGAAGCCCCGGUAAACGGCGGCCGUAACUAUAACGGUCCUAAGGUAGCGAAAUUCCUUGUCGGGUAAGUUCCGACCUGCACGAAUGGCGUAAUGAUGGCCAGGCUGUCUCCACCCGAGACUCAGUGAAAUUGAACUCGCUGUGAAGAUGCAGUGUACCCGCGGCAAGACGGAAAGACCCCGUGAACCUUUACUAUAGCUUGACACUGAACAUUGAGCCUUGAUGUGUAGGAUAGGUGGGAGGCUUUGAAGUGUGGACGCCAGUCUGCAUGGAGCCGACCUUGAAAUACCACCCUUUAAUGUUUGAUGUUCUAACGUUGGCCCGUAAUCCGGGUUGCGGACAGUGUCUGGUGGGUAGUUUGACUGGGGCGGUCUCCUCCUAAAGAGUAACGGAGGAGCACGAAGGUUGGCUAAUCCUGGUCGGACAUCAGGAGGUUAGUGCAAUGGCAUAAGCCAGCUUGACUGCGAGCGUGACGGCGCGAGCAGGUGCGAAAGCAGGUCAUAGUGAUCCGGUGGUUCUGAAUGGAAGGGCCAUCGCUCAACGGAUAAAAGGUACUCCGGGGAUAACAGGCUGAUACCGCCCAAGAGUUCAUAUCGACGGCGGUGUUUGGCACCUCGAUGUCGGCUCAUCACAUCCUGGGGCUGAAGUAGGUCCCAAGGGUAUGGCUGUUCGCCAUUUAAAGUGGUACGCGAGCUGGGUUUAGAACGUCGUGAGACAGUUCGGUCCCUAUCUGCCGUGGGCGCUGGAGAACUGAGGGGGGCUGCUCCUAGUACGAGAGGACCGGAGUGGACGCAUCACUGGUGUUCGGGUUGUCAUGCCAAUGGCACUGCCCGGUAGCUAAAUGCGGAAGAGAUAAGUGCUGAAAGCAUCUAAGCACGAAACUUGCCCCGAGAUGAGUUCUCCCUGACUCCUUGAGGGUCCUGAAGGAACGUUGAAGACGACGACGUUGAUAGGCCGGGUGUGUAAGCGCAGCGAUGCGUUGAGCUAACCGGUACUAAUGAACCGUGAGGCUUAACCUUACAACGCCGAAG